rnacentral:ncRNA from 1 species
AAAAAAACCGCCCGGCAACAAACCGGACGGGCACGCCAAACGCGAUGCGCCUGGCCUGCAUAAUGGGAGAGGAGAAACCGGAGGAAGAGCUUAUGGGGAAACGUAAGUCUUCUCCGCG